GUGCCAGCAGCCGCGGUAACACGGGGGGAGCAAGCGUUGUUCGGAAUCACUGGGCGUAAAGGGCGUGUAGGCGGUCAGGUAAGUGGGACGUGAAAUCCCUCGGCUCACCCGAGGACCUGCGUCCCAUACUGCUUGGCUUGAGUACGGGAGAGGAUGGAGGAAUUCCUGGUGUAGCGGUGAAAUGCGUAGAUAUCAGGAGGAACACCGGUGGCGAAGGCGUCCAUCUGGCCCGAUACUGACGCUGAGGCGCGAAAGCUAGGGUAGCAAACGGGAUUAGAUACCCGCGUAGUCC
rnacentral:rRNA from 1 species